UGAGGAAUAUUGGGCAAUGCCCGAAAGGGUGACCCAGCAACGCCGCGUGGAGGAUGAAGGUCGUAAGAUUGUAAACUCCUGUUAGAGGGGAAGAAUAACUAAGUUUGGAGCUUAGUAUGACUGUACCCUCAGAGAAAGCCCCGGCUAACUACGUGCCAGCAGCCGCGGUAAUACGUAGGGGGCAAGCGUUGUCCGGAUUUACUGGGUGUAAGGGGCUCGCAGGCGGAAUGGAAAGUCAGUGGUGAAAUCCUACAGCUUAACUGUAGAACUGCCUUUGAUACUUUCAUUCUUGAGUUCGGUAGAGAGAGACGGAAUUCCAGGUGUAGUGGUGAAAUACGUAGAUAUCUGGAAGAACACCAGUUGCGAAGGCGGUCUCUUGGUCCGAUACUGACGCUGAGGCGCGAAAGCAUGGGGAGCAAACA
rnacentral:rRNA from 1 species